CCUACGGGAGGCUGCAGUGGGGAAUAUUGGACAAUGGGGGCAACCCUGAUCCAGCCAUGCCGCGUGUGUGAAGAAGGCCCUCGGGUUGUAAAGCACUUUCAGUGAGGAAGAACGCCUGGUGGUUAAUACCCAUCAGGAAAGACAUCACUCACAGAAGAAGCACCGGCUAACUCCGUGCCAGCAGCCGCGGUAAUACGGAGGGUGCGAGCGUUAAUCGGAAUUACUGGGCGUAAAGCGCGCGUAGGUGGCUUGAUAAGCCGGUUGUGAAAGCCCCGGGCUCAACCUGGGAACGGCAUCCGGAACUGUCAAGCUAGAGUGCAGGAGAGGAAGGUAGAAUUGCCGGUGUAGGGGGGAAAUGCGUAGAGAUCGGGAGGAAUACCAGUGGCGAAGGCGGCCUUCUGGACUGACACUGACACUGAGGUGCGAAAGCGUGGGUAGCAAACAGGAUUAGAUACACCGGUAGUC
rnacentral:rRNA from 1 species